AUAUCUCUCUAGCCAAUCAGAAAGUCGCUAAGAUUUAGUAGCGAAACGAAUCAGCGCGCAUCAUAGUGCGCAUGAGUCUACAGUUGAAAAGCGUGGUGACAGGUCGUGUUUCACCGGCAGAGAUUAUCGUUUGAUUGAAGCUUCGAUGGCGGGAUGGCUUUGAAAGUUUUUGCACACAUCAUGAAAAUGAAGAAAUAAUCCAACGAUUUUCACGCAAAUAUGAUAAAUAGCUGAUUGCAGUAAUUACUUUAGGCGGGAAAAAGGAUUUCAAUAUGGACGCCAUGAUGACAGUUUACGAAAGAAAGGUAGAUUCUCUCAAAGAAAGGC